rnacentral:rRNA from 1 species
GGAAUCUUAGACAAUGGGCGCAAGCCUGAUCUAGCCAUGCCGCGUGAGUGAAGAAGGCCUUAGGGUCGUAAAGCUCUUUCGCCGGGGAAGAUAAUGACGGUACCCGGUAAAGAAGUCCCGGCUAACUCCGUGCCAGCAGCCGCGGUAAUACGGAGGGGACUAGCGUUGUUCGGAAGUACUGGGCGUAAAGCGCGCGUAGGCGGAUCGUUAAGUCAGGGGUGAAAUCCUGGGGCUCAACCCCAGAACUGCCCUUGAUACUGGCGGCCUUGAGUUCGAGAGAGGUGAGUGGAAUUCCGAGUGUAGAGGUGAAAUUCGUAGAUAUUCGGAGGAACACCAGUGGCGAAGGCGGCUCACUGGCUCGAUACUGACGCUGAGGUGCGAAAGCGUGGGGAGCAAAC